rnacentral:lncRNA from 1 species
GCGGGGUCCCCGGCCCGGCCCCUACUCGCGGGCGCGCGCUCCGCCAGCCCCGGUCCCGGGCGAGACCUUGCAGCGGAGCGGCAGAUGGCACGCCCGGCACGCGGCCUGGGGUCAAGUUCACCCCGCCCGCCCCACCCCCAGAGGGUCCCAGAGCGUCCUCCACUCCCCUCACCAGCCUCCCGCGCCUCUUCAAGGAAGUCUUCCUGCCUCUAGGACCUAAGAGCUUAUUUGGUUAAGGGCAAGGAUGCUUGAAGCCGCCAGGUUUGUUGGCAGGAUCCUCAUAUGCAGUAGUAAAAACGAAGGUUCACACUCAUGGAUCCUUACAAUGCACUCCGCUGGGCUCUGCCUUAAUUCUCAUGGGCCCCCUCCAUCCUGCCCCGACCCCGGGCAGCAAGUCCUACUAUCUUCCAGUUUUACAAACGAGCAAUUGAGGCUUUCAGACUUUGCCAAGAUUAUAUUCCAAAUGAGGGGAUUCAAACCCAGGCUGACAGCCUCCUCAGUGCAGGCUUUCUUCACCAGCAUCAUCACACAUGGUGAUAACUCCCAAGGUUCACAGCUUGUCUGUUCACUAUGCAUCGUGCUGAGGGGCUUCCAUGCACUUCCUCCAUUCCCGCUCACAACAGUAUCGUCAGGUUACAGGUAUGGGCCUGUGGAGGCACGGCCCCUCCUCACAACGACAAGCAAGUGGCAAUGGCCAAUGGAAGCCCAGCAACUUGUUUCAGUCCACCCCCAAAGUAGCACUUCUGUUCCACUGGAAUGGGCCCUGAGGAGGAGGAAAAGGAGGCACAAGAUGAGCAGGCUUAGGCCUAGGGCGCCAAGAUUUUACCAGAAGGCAGUAUGGGGCAACCCUCUGAACGAACCCAAAGGCAGUAUGGGGCAACCCUCUGAACGAACCCAAAUGUCAAGGCCAAGUAGAGGUGAGGGAGAGAAGCUCUAGUGACAAGCACUUUGGGGGCAGUCACUGGGUCUCACACCCCUUGUACCUUAACUGACUCCUUGUGUAAUGCUACAAACGGAUGGAUAUGACCAUACUCUCAAAAGAAGUAACGUAACACACAAGGGCCACACUUCUCAUUCCCACUCUAGUGUUCCUGCUGUGAAAGAGUUGGAGUAAUAUUCUAUGGAGGUGAGGGAUGGGACUUUUCUUUCAUACCUAAUUGUAUUUCUGGAAGACUGCCAGCUUUCCAGACAGACACUUGAUCUGAGUAUUCAUUGACUGCCCUUCGCCGUGGGAAGGUGGGAAAGAAAAAUAAAUCAGGAGUCAGAAACGUAAAAGGCAGCCUGCAUGUCUGUACAGUCUAGAGUUGUAAGCUGAUUUAUUUUCUUACUCAUUUUGAGUAAACUGCCACCACUGCCUUCCAAUGUAAGCAGCUAGGGGCAAAUACUGAGUUUGAGUUUCUGUUCUGCAUACAAACUAGCACAUUUUAAAUGUAUAUGAAGUUUAAAUAGCAACAUCCUAUUCUUAUUUCAUUGGAAAAAUCCUUUUAUAUUAGUUUCCACCAUAUCUUAGACUCUGCCAGAUCUUGCCCUAAGAAAAGGUAAAGUAAAUGUGAAUUGAAAAAUAGCAAUUUGCGGCCUGGCACGGUGGCUCAUGCCUGUAAUCCCAGCACUUUGGGAGGCCGAGGCAGUCAGAUCACCUGGUAUCAGGAGUUCGAGACUAGACUGACCAACAUGAUGAAACCCUGUCUCUAAUAAAAAUACAAAAUUAGCCAGAUGUGAUGGCAUAUGCCUGUAAUCCCGGCUACUUGGGAGGCUGAGGCAGGAGAAUCGCUUGAACCCGGGAGGCAGAGAUUGCAGUGAGCCGAGAUUGCGCCAUUGCACUCCAGCCUGAGUAACAAGAGUGAAACUCCAUCUCAAAAAAAAAAAAAGAAAAAUAGCAAUUUGCGUGAUUGUUAUUUUGUUUUUAUAUUGCAUCUAAAAACAAAAAGCUGUCUUCUUGAAACAGGAAGUUAAGGACAAAUACGUAAGCUACUUCCUGGAAAAGAAAUAUAUGAUUGUUUAGAUCUGGGAGAGGUUGUGAGAUCAUUUGUCCAAUUUCCCCAUUCCUGUAUUUUACAUAUGAGCAAUGUAAAACUGGCGCUUAGGGAAGGGAGGGCAUCUGACCGUAGUCACUAGUUAGGAGCAGAGCUGAGGCUUUAACGCAGGUCAGCCUGACUUCCCAAGUGCUCUGACCCCAAAUGUCCUGCCCACUGAGUCACCCAACUUCCACGCCAACUAUUUCAAUACCCCAUGAUAACUGUAAACAGGACUGCUUAUCUUGUUUUAGAUUUCAUUCAUUCUCAAAAAUUAUUUUGGAAUAGGCAUUCUUUUACUGUGAAAAUGGAGGCCUCAGUUCUUUUGGACUCAAGCUAGGCUGUUUAUGACCCUUUGAUGUCACAGAUCACCAAUUUAGUCGUGAUUCAGCACAGCAGUUUACUAAAAAGCAAAACACUCUUUUUUUAUUUUCUCAGGGUCUUUCCUUUUAAAGGCAAUAGAUUUCUUUUUCAUCUCACUACCCUCUUGCUCUUAGGAGAGGACAUUCCUUCUGAAAAGAUAUGAGCAACGAGAAACUUAAUUUUCGGAGCCUAUGAUUCGGACAUAUAGGAACUGGGAGAAGACUCAUUCAGGGGACAGAGGAAGGAUUGAGGUCUUCUGCUUCAUAUAGACACAGAAUCUGUAACUUCUUCAGUAGUGUUCCCUCCAAGACUUCCCUGAAAAACACCAUAGAUAACAUUGUGCCAAUUGAUCAUCCCUGAUACUACUGAUAACAUUUACAUGAAGGUUUCCCCUGUACCACCCCUUCUCCACCAUCUCAUUUUCAUUUCUUCCUUCCAGAAGCUGUCUGCACUUGCAUAACUUAAUAAAAUGGUGAUUGCUAGUUGAUCCUUAUAUUGUUUAGAAAAGAUAGAAUCAGUCAACUCCUCCAAAUAAACAGGAGAAGGAUAUACAAAGAAUGCCAGUGUUGGUGAGAUGUUUAUGCCACAGUUUCUCCAAUGCAUUUUAGGGGGGCUCAUCAUAUUAGGGGCUCUAACGUGGAGGCAACACCACUGGGUGGUCAUUACAAGGAAUGUGACUAUAUUGCCCCCUCGUGGUUGUAAUGCAUAAAUGCUGAACAAGACCUGAAACCCCCUAAACAAAAAUAAGUGCAGCAUUCCACUGGGUGAAGAGCACUUAGUGAAAAUCUUUGAGGAUCUGAACACUUUUCUCAGGCACAGGUACUACUUAGAUGAGCAAGAUGUGGUCCCUGUCUUCAAGAAACUCACAAUCUAUUGAAAGAGAAAGAUACCCGACUCCCUUCCUGCCGCCCACUGGUUCCCCAUCACUUCAAUACAUAAUUGGUUGAACAGGUAAAGAUGAUACGUGCAUGCCUUAGACAUUUUAUUUUGACUUAACACAUACACGUCACUAAUCUUUUGAUAUGGGGCCAAAGGCUU